GUAUAUCAUUAUUGUAAGUCGCUUUGGACAAAAGCGUCUGCCAAAUAUAAUAAU
rfam:Astyanax mexicanus Tnplaced_Scaffold3515, whole genome shotgun sequence.